rnacentral:ncRNA from 1 species
GUAAUGUUUGAUUUUGGCUUUGAUUUUUAUGUUAUGUCUUGAAUUGUAUGAAAAUUAAAGUAGGAAGAUGAAAAUUAAUUAUAUAUUAAUUUUAUUGUAAAGGAGAAAAAUUAUAAAAUUUUAAUUCUCAGCAUAAAGUAUUACACUCAAAUGCACUAAAGUGUGAUGUAGUGGUUAUAAUAAGCCUGAUAAAUAUUUGUGCCAGCAUUCGCGGUUAUACUUUAAGGUUAAGUAAAGUUUUUAAGGUUGUAGUUAAGUGAUUAAAUUUUAAUGGGUUAUAAAUAAUAGCAGGUGAAAUUGGUUAUUAAUGUUUAUAUAAAAAUUAAAUUUGAGCUGAAGCUGAAAAGGUUUAAUGAGAAACUAGGAUUAGAUACCCUAUUAUUAAAAAAGGAAAAAGUAAAAGCUUAAUUAGUAAAAGAUAGAUUCUUAAAAAUUAAAAAAUUUGGCGGUAAUUUAAUCUUUUCAGAGGAACCUGUUUUUUAAAUCGAUAAACCACGAAUAAUCUUACUUACUUUAGUUUAAUAAAUAUCAGUUUGUAUACCAUCAUUAACAAAUAAUUUCAAAAAAGAAGUAAUUAUUUAGUAUAAACGAUUAAAAAAAUUAGAUCAUGGUGCAGCUUAUAGGUAAGGUAAAAUGGGUUACAAUAAUUUUUUUUAUCAUGAAUUAAUAGUUUAAAAUUAUUAUGAAGGAGGAUUUGAUUGUAUUAGAAUUUUAAUAAGAUUUAAAGAUAUAAGCUCUAAAUUAUGUACAUAUCGCCCGUCGCUUUCGCCUAUAAGUGAAAUAAGUCGUAACAUAGUAGGUGUACUGGAAAGUGUGCCUAGAAUGGU